UACGUAGGGACCGAGCGUUGUCCGGAAUCAUUGGGCGUAAAGAGCGUGUAGGCGGCCACUUAAGUCCUGCGUGAAAUCUUGCGGCUCAACCGCAAGCGGUCGUGGGAAACUGGGUGGCUAGAGUGCGGGAGAGGAGAGUGGAAUUCCUGGUGUAGCGGUGGAAUGCGCAGAUAUCAGGAGGAACACCGGUGGCGAAGGCGGGUCUCUGGGCAGUAACUGACGCUGAGGAGCGAAAGCGUGGGGAGCGAACAGG
rnacentral:rRNA from 1 species